GGAUUCCUCCCGGGGAGACUACAGCCUGUCAGCAUGGCUCACGAGUUUGUGAACAGCAAAAUCCGGCUGGGGAAGGUGGUCGUGUUCAUCAAGCCCACCUGCCCCUGCUGUAGAAAGACCCAAGAGAUCCUCAGUCAGUUGCCCUUCAAACAAGGAGCUCUGGAAUUUGUCGAUAUCACAGCCACUGACGACACAAAUGAGAUUCAAGAUUAUUUGCAACAGCUCACAGAAGCAAGAAUGGGGCCUCGAGUCUUUAUUGGUAAAAAUUGCAUAGGUGGGUGCAGUGAUCUAAUAACUAUGCAACAGAGUGGGGAACUGGUGACGUGGCUAAAGCAGAUUGGAGCUCUGUGGUAA